rnacentral:rRNA from 1 species
ACGGGAGGCAGCAGUGGGGAAUAUUGGGCAAUGGGCGAAAGCCUGACCCAGCAACGCCGCGUGAAGGAAGAAGGUCUUCGGAUUGUAAACUUCUUUUAUGAGGGACGAAGGACGUGACGGUACCUCAUGAAUAAGCGUCGGCCAACUCCGUGCCAGCAGCCGCGGUAAUACGGAGGAUGCAGGCGUUAUCCGGAUUUAUUAGGUUUAAAGGGUGCGCAGGCGGGACAUUAAGUCGGCGGUGAAAUACCGUGGCCCAACCACGGGGCUGCCGUCGAUACUGAUGACCUAGAGUGCGUGUGACGUAGGCGGAAUGUGACGUGUAGCGGUGAAAUGCUUAGAUAUGUCACAGAACACCGAUUGCGAAGGCAGCCUACGAAUGCGUAACUGACGCUCAUGCACGAAAGCGCGGGUAGCGAACAGGAUUAGAUACCCUGGUA